UUUAGCAACAACGGUAAGUGUUAUUAGGGCUCAACUUUUCCUCUCCCUUCUCUCCAUUUAGAACGUUGUAGGACUCUCCAUAGCCAAUUUCUCUCGAAGCUUCAUUCCCCCAAACAAAAACAAAAUAUGAACCGGAAAACAACCAACCAUUCUCCAAAUCUUCCGCCGGAUGCAUAUGCCAUGUCGAGAGGAUUCUUGGUAGUGAGCGGCAACUUGACGAAACUUGCAAAGACGAAAAAAGGGGCCCAAAAUCUUUAGUAGAGCAGCAAAGCAUCACAACGUCGAAACGGUGGUGAUCCACUCUUCUUUCACUCGGGCUUAAAAUCUCGCCAUCUCCUUGUUUGAGCUUCUCUUUCGAUCUGCUGAUUCUCGAUCUCUCAUCUUUUUUCAUUUUUAGGAGGUAAUUUCCUUCCGCUCUUGUUAUGGUUCACAAGUUUAUGUGUUAUUUAAACAUGAUUUUGAAAUGGGUUUUUUAUUAUUUUGACCUUUUUUUAAGUUAAAUUGUUUUUCGUUAGCAAGCAAUUGAUUGAAUUUUGAGUAUUUUCGUGUUGGGUACAGUUUUUCACUUUCUGGGAAUUAUUUGUUGUUGCUCUUUCGUUUUUUUUUUUUUUUUUUUUUUUUUAUUUGUUUACUAUUAACCAAAUAGAGGAUGCUUGUUAUGUCAUUCUGCUUGUUCGGUGUCAUAAUUUUGUUCACUUUCCAUUUCUACUCGAGUUUGUUUGCUCUUCUAGUUUGAAUAUGAUUUGAUGGCUAAAGAUUUGGCAAUUUUUUCAUCAAUCUGGUCCGCCCUUCUAGUUGGAGUAUUGUUUGCUCUUCUAGUUUGCAGAUCUGUGGGCAAGUUUCUCCUUGUUUUUUUAGAACUCUUGAAAUUUAAUAAUGUCAUUAGUUGCCAAAUUGUGUUAUCGUUUUGAAUACUCUGUAAUAUUGAACCAUUUGUCUAUUUCGUAGUUAUAUUUUAGAUUUGAUUUGAAAAUAGGUACAUUAAAAAUUUAAAAUCUCUUAAAACGUAGUUGGAUAAAAAGCUUCAGAUCCUACCUCUUGGUCUUCCUUUUUGGUUAAUGUAAGCUUGAUUAUGAUCAAUUUGCUAUAUUGGCUAAUGUGUUAUUAGAGUUAAAUCGCGCAAUCAAUUUGCUAUUUGUUUUCUUCUUAUUUUAUUUUUGUUCUUCUUGCAUGUUGUUUUGUUUGAUGCAGUAUUUUAGGUCCAGUUUUCUGUUUUUGCAUUUAUGUUUCACCAUAUGUGUGGAUUGUGCUCCCAUGUUCGUCCUAAAAACUACAUGUGGGUGGUUUGGAGAAAGUCCAAACAUUAAACUUUCAAAAGAGACCUUUUAACCAUAACCCCAUAUGAGCCCAAAAAGAUAGCUAGCUAGUAGUAGAUACAUAUGCAAGUAACACAAAUACAAAAUGGGUACAUUGAUGCUUUAUCUCCCUCCCUUCAUUGUAUUCAUUAUUUAUAAUACAAAGCUUAAUCUUCUUCUUCCUUUUGAUCCUGAUAUAAACUUUGGAAUGCUUAUGAGCAAAUGUCUCAGUGUAAAUUAUCUUCUCACUAAAAUAUGAAGGGAUUUUCUAUUUGUGAUUAACAAGACAUGGUAGUGAUGAUUUUCAGUACCAAUAAACUAGAAAAAAGAUUGUGGUUUGUACUUAUGUUUCUCUUAGUAGGAGCCAUGGAAAACAAUUAAAGGGAUCAUAGUGGUUGGCAACAGUUUUGUUGCCUUUAAGAAGAACAUGUAGGAAAUGGAACCUCACUUUAAGCCAGGUUCUUCUAAAGGGAUGGCUUCAUUUCUACAAAUGUCAAAGGAGAGAACAGGAGUUGAUGGAAUUUGAAGUCGUUGAAUAAAAAAUAUAUGCCUUCGAAUGUGGCAUUUUAUUCGGAUACUGUUUAGGCUUGCCUUCUUUUACUUGAUGGAUUAUAUUUCCUGCAACCAUUAUGGUUGAGGAUGACUAGCAGGAAUUAGAACUUUGAUUCACUGUGAGGAAUUAUUGCUCCUACAUGAUUUCAGUAUCCUAGUUUGUUUCAAAUUGAAUCUUAGUUGAUUUUUAUUUUGAUGUUUAGGAUGGACUAACAAUGAAAAGAUUGAAUAAUUAUUGUUAUGAUUGUCUACAUAUUGUUUUCCAUGCAA